UACGUAGGGUGCAAGCGUUAAUCGGAAUUACUGGGCGUAAAGCGUGCGCAGGCGGUGAUGUAAGACAGUUGUGAAAUCCCCGGGCUCAACCUGGGAACUGCAUCUGUGACUGCAUCGCUGGAGUGCGGCAGAGGGGGAUGGAAUUCCGCGUGUAGCAGUGAAAUGCGUAGAUAUGCGGAGGAACACCGAUGGCGAAGGCAAUCCCCCUGGGCCUGCACUGACGCUCAUGCACGAAAGCGUGGGGAGCAAACAGG
rnacentral:rRNA from 1 species